GACGAACGCUGGCGGCGUGCUUAACACAUGCAAGUCGAACGGAAAGGCCCCUUUGGGGGUACUCGAGUGGCGAACGGGUGAGUAACACGUGAGUAACCUGCCCUUGACUUCGGGAUAACUUCAGGAAACUGGGGCUAAUACCGGAUAGGAAUCCUUGCUGCAUGGUGGGGGUUGGAAAGCUUCGGCGGUUUUGGAUGGACUCGCGGCUUAUCAGCUUGUUGGUGGGGUAGUGGCUUACCAAGGCUUUGACGGGUAGCCGGCCUGAGAGGGCGACCGGCCACAUUGGGACUGAGAUACGGCCCAGACUCCUACGGGAGGCAGCAGUGGGGAAUAUUGCACAAUGGGCGGAAGCCUGAUGCAGCAACGCCGCGUGCGGGAUGACGGCCUACGGGUUGUAAACCGCUUUCAGCAGGGGCGAAGCUUGUGGUGACGGUACCUGCAGAAGAAGCACCGGCUAACUACGUG
rnacentral:rRNA from 1 species